rnacentral:rRNA from 1 species
AGAUUGAACGCUGGCGGCGUGCCUAACACAUGCAAGUCGAGCGGUAACAGGUGUAGCAAUACAUGCUGACGAGCGGCGAACGGGUGAGUAAUGCUUUGGAAUCUUCCCAGUAGUGGGGAAUAACCAGUCGAAAGAUUGGCUAAUACCGCAUACGUCUGUAAAGGGAAAGCGGGGGCUCGUAAGACCUCGCGCUAUUGGAUGAGCCAAAGUCGGAUUAGCUAGUUGGUGGGGUAAUGGCCUACCAAGGCGACAAUCCGUAGCUGGUCUGAGAGGACGACCAGCCACACCGGAACUGAGACACGGUCCGGACUCCUACGGGAGGCAGCAGUGGGGAAUAUUGGACAAUGGGGGAAACCCUGAUCCAGCGACGCCGCGUGUGUGAAGAAGGCCUGCGGGUUGUAAAGCACUUUUAGUGGGGACAAAAGCUACGGACUAAUAUUCUGUGGUCUUGAUUUAACCCAAGAAAAGCACCGGCUAACUCUGUGCCAGCAGCCGCGGU